UGACAGGCGAGGCGUGCACAAAGUUGACUGAACCGCCGGGCCUGGCCCCACCUUCGCCCCCUGACCGUGGGCCGUUCCACUGCUCGGCCGCCGCCCGCCGCCCGCCGCAGCAACCGCCGAAGGCAGGCUCACGGCGCGCAAGGCGAGAUCCCCGGAGAUGGGGCCGGAGGGCAACCGACCACCACCACCGGGGCGCUCGUGCCCCGCUUCGGGACGGGACCUACUACCGCAGCGUGGUGCGUGGCCCGGCUGCUACGCCGCCGCCUCCUCGUUGCCGGCGGCCCGCGGGACCGGAGCCGCGCCUCUCCGCCCAGCCCCUACCCGGGGUUUCUGUUUGGAUUCUGCUCAUUCACGAGCUCUCUGGCACAGGAGACCUUCUCAUGCAUGGCGAAACCAUUAAUGCUGGCCAUGGAGAUCCUUGCCUCUUCAGGAUUCAGAACAGCUCGGUGCACAACAGUCUUGAUUUUGCCGUUGCUCAGGACUUCCAUGUGGUCUCCUACGUGGACAUGCAAUGCAUGUGGGAGUGGCUGGACCACUUUCCAGCUGUUGCUGUUGCGGUCGACGACCUCCAGGCCUCGACAACUUGUGAACAAGAUGAUUGGGGGGUUUUCUGGCCAAUAUUGCAUCCAUUCACCCAGGGGAUGGGCAUAAUGCUUUAGUUUGAAGAAAUCUGAAGCUGCUUCAACAGCUCCAUCCAUGACAGAUUGACUGAUCCCAUGGUUUAUAAUCUGCAAAAUGGAGAUAGGCAAGUAAGCUUUCUUUGUUCCCUUGCACCUGCUUGUUAGUAGAGUGCCCAAGAAGGGUUCAUGAAAGGCCGUACCUUAACUCUAGUGUAGCUACACAGCCGUAAGUUCUCCUCUAAUGUUUUACAAUUUUAGUAGUGGUCCUUGAGAACCUUGACAUUGCUUAUAUUUUAGAGUUGAAGCUGGAAACAUUUUAUAUGCACAGAAGGCACUUGCUGUAUAAAUGAUAUGUUAUUUCUCGUACGGAGAAGUCACCCAGUCAGAGAACACGCCUUAGUAAUACCGUUUGCUGCCUUGCUAUGUCCACAUGUACCCAUCGGACAAUGAUGCAGUUGUUAAAACCGGCCAUUUAGGCCGACCCCGGCUCCAUGUUGCUCUAAAACCAGACAUUUAUAUCGAGUAGGCUUAGGCCCUGUUACAGAUUUACAACUACAAAAAAUGAAGGAAACUGAGAUGCUUGAACAUACACGUUGUGUAGAUACUUCAGAAUAUCUGUUCUAAAUUUUAUGUAGACUAAAUUACAGAUCAAACUUCACAAGUGCACUCAAUACUGAAAUGUUACAUCAUAAGAAAAAGAUUACGAAUGUAGCAGGAAAAAAUAAUUUGUCAGUUUCCAUUUAACCAGGCGACAAAAUGUAGCUGGUCCUCAACGUAUCGUACAGUUUUCGCCUAUCCCUGCUGCCUCAUACAGUCGCAUGAUGUGUUCUAGUAUACUUUGUAUACACUGUUUACACAGUUCAUACUCUUCAUUUGGGGGGACAAAAGGAGGAUGGAGCUCGUCAAACUAUUUAGCUGAGUGCAGGCAGUUUGCUCCUAAGAUUGUGCAUGUACUACUACUAACAAUGCGGUGCUGUCACAGCUAGCCGCAGGAUUUCAAAGGUCAUCAUAGCUCCUAAUUUUCCUGUAGUCACUCUUCUGCAGUGGUUUUUCAACCACAAAUCUAGUUUGGUUUCCUAGUUUAUUUGUCUGUACAGUCGUCUUCCUUGGUAACAUUGUGGACACAGGUGGCAAUGUUAUCCAUUGCAGUCUGGAAAAGAUAAAUGCCAAGGCAAAGGCAGAAAAGAAAAAGACAGGAAGGUGUGGCAAUGUUCUCAAGGAGUAUACCUGGAAGUAUCCUAGAUCACGGCAUGCUUUGGUAAUAUCUUCAACCACGCAAGCUCGUGUUGCUGGGUCAAGGUUGAGGUGACCCACGUUGAUCACCGGCAUUGGCGGCGGGUGGAGGUCGUCAGACGGGAGCUGCUCCUGAGGGACAGUCCUUGAGUCAUCAGACAUGUUGACUUAGUACUGUACAAGGAGCAGAGUCCAAUCUCAGUAUCUUUACGCAGAAUCGAAACGGGAUGAAGUGAUCCUCCAUGGUGCAGCAUCUACUUAUAGGCAGCUUCAUUCCAGUGUCUGCUCAUUCCAAAUAAGAGGUCAAGCCAUUCAUGUCCAUGCAUGCAUGCACUUGGCAAUAUAUAUAAAUAUCGGUCCAAGGGAAGCUCCUACGCAGGGCCUACGUCGGGAACAGGCAGAGCCCGACAAUAUGUGAAUAUUCUUACAUGUCGCCCGUGUGCCGCCGCAUAGCAGAUUGGGAGUAUCUUAAUACCGCGCUCCGGGCCACUCAUUCGCUCUUUCGUCACAUAUGCUCCAUUGUCCUGGUAUGCAACUGGUUGUUGUUUAGGACACAAUUAUGAAGUUAUCUCUUGGACUAUAUAUACUUCUUCGUCCUGGUAUGCCACUGGUUUUUGUUUAGGACGCAAUUAUGAAGUUAUCUCUGGGACACAACUUGUUUCUGCCAAUGUUUCUGGUGCUGUCCAGGGUGUUGCUUCAUGGAGAGGCUGGCUUCCCUCGUUGGAAACUUCGGCUACCCCUGCAGUGUCAGCAAAUUGGGAGUAUCUUAAAUUCUUAAUCCUACGUUCCAUGCUGCCUACUUCUUUACUUUGUUCCUGUUAUGCAACUGGUGUUUGUUUAGGAGAUACAACAAUAAUGAAAAAAUAAAUAUCUUACUGAUACAACUUGUUUCUGCCCAUUUUUUUCGCGGCUGUCAUAUCCAGUGGGUGAUCAUGGAGGCUGGAAUCCCGGACGCGGCCUGGGGCUACUCGUUUAGUUAAAACCCUCUGGGCGCGCAGUAUCAGGGUCCCCAAAAAGUUCAAUUUUGUCGGUUGCCACAGGACGACCGACGCCUCUCAUGUCCUGUCACCCGAUUUCCGUCCAGCUUACGCGUGCGGCGCAACUGGGAUUUUCUUAGGCGCAACAGCGAUGAUGUUGUUGUACGGGAAAUGGGAAUGAUGAAGGCAAGUGGUUUUCGCUGCUGGUGGUUCGGGUGCAGCCUGACCAGGAGGGGCUCAUGGAGACUGUGGAGUGCUGCUGGAAGCUGCUGCUGCUGAUCUGAAUGGAAGCUUGGCUUAGUUAAUUGGUGCUGUUGCAGUCGGCGAAAAGGGCCAUUUUUGGCGGUUCUCGUAGGCUGCCAUGUUGUAUACUUUUGGGGUAGCAGAUAGCUUGGCCAGAGACGGUGUAUGUGAAUGAGCCGCGUCACUGCUUGGUUUUGGAUAAGAGCCAUCAUCCCUGCCAUUGCUUCUCUCGGCGUGUAGCAGAUAGUUCAUGUGUCCACCUAGGAACUUGCUGUCCUGCUUCUUUUUUUACCUGGUGAAGAUGAGCUGCAGGUGUUUCGUUGCCUCUCGCUCUAUCCACGUCCUCUGCGACGGAAGUGUUUCGUCGCCUCUCGCUCUAUCCGCGUCCUCUGCGACGGUGCCAGGAAAGGACGCCGCGCCGGGGGUUGUCCACUUGUCUUGGCACGAAAACUUUUGCCGUUUACGAAAGU